rnacentral:rRNA from 1 species
UACAGGGGGGGCAAGCGUUGUUCGGAAUUACUGGGCGUAAAGGGUUCGUAGGUGGCUUACUAAGUCAGACGUGAAAUCCCUCAGCUUAACUGGGGAACUGCGUCUGAUACUGGAAAGCUUGAGUGCAGGAGAGGAACGCGGAAUUCCAGGUGUAGCGGUGAAAUGCGUAGAUAUCUGGAGGAACACCGGUGGCGAAGGCGGCGUUCUGGACUGCAACUGACACUGAUGAACGAAAGCCAGGGGAGCAAACGGG